UCAAACUUGGUCAUUUAGAGGAAGUAAAAGUCGUAACAAGGUUUCCGUAGGUGAACCUGCGGAAGGAUCAUUAAAAGAUUUAAAAUUUGGAGAAGGUAUUUUACAUACCUUUUCCUAAAAUCUCUGAACUUGUGGUAACAAUGAAAAUGAUUAUGUAGUUGGGUUUAAAAAUGAUUGUUUCUUACUAAUCUGAUUGGUUAGAAAAGAUCGACCCAAAUACUUUAUAAAAAACUCUUUGUUCUUAUAAUAUGACUGAAAUAAAAUUAAAUUUAAUCCUUUUUGGAUUAAAAAAAAGUAUUUAAACAACUUUCAACAACGGAUCUCUUGGUUCUCGCAUCGAUGAAGAACGCAGC
rnacentral:misc_RNA from 1 species